rnacentral:tRNA from 1 species
ACCUGGGUGGCUCAGUUUGUUGAGCAUCUGACUUCAGCUCAGGUCAUGAUCUCAUGGUUCAUGGGAUCAAGCCCCAUGUCGGGCU